UCCCUUUCAAACCCUAAAAUCUUUUUAACCUUAAAAUUCUCUUUCAAACCCUAUUGCGCCGUCACUUCAUCUUCACUCUGGAACCCAGCAGCUUCCUUCGCGUCCAUCGUCAUCUUCAUCACUGGAACCCAGCCUCAUCUUCAGCUUCUGGAACCCAGCCUUCUGGAACCCAACCCUUCAUCGCACCCAGAAAACCCUAACCUCCAUCACGCCGCCAUUUAUCUCACUGGUUCGUCGUUGUGUUAGCCAGCUCGCCACUCCUCUUGUUGUCCUUCUCGCGGUUCUGGUCGUCGUGCUGCUCGCCUCUCUCUAUCGCGAUUCUGCUCGCCUCUCCCUGCUCGCCUCAUCCCCUCCACCGUUGCAGUCCCUGGCUCACCCAUUCCUUCCCUCGCAGUCACACUGGCCGUCGCCCGUAGUCCUCCGCGGAACUCGCCCGUCACUCGAAGUCGCACUCCGAAGCCGUCGCCCGUUGUCCUCCUCGGAACUCACCCGUCGCCCGUCGUCCUCCAUGGAUCUUGCAGCCGCUAUCGUCCUCCGCGGACAACAGCAUUAAUGUUGGCAUCCAGUGAACAUCUUCGAGAUAACUAUAGUCUUGCUACUAACAUGGAUCCUAAUGUUCCUGCACAACUUUUUGAGUAUGACAAACGUUUUGAGUAGUACGGAUGUGAUUACACAUUUUAUGACCACAAUCACCCUGAGGAGUUGCCACUGGAGUUGAAGCAUUCCUUCAAAAUAGUAGUGGUAGAUCCUCCUUACUUGGUGGCCUAAAGGUCAUGCAACAAAGCUCACCUCCUUUCAAGAAAGUAAUAGUGAAAUCCAAACUUCAUGUUCAGAUAUUGCAAAGUCCACCAUGGACAUAACCAAGAUUCAGAAAGAGGAAGCCAAAAUCAUUGCAUGGGAAAGCCAACAGAAGGCAAAGUAACUUAUUGUUGCUUGUAAAUAAACUGAGAGAACCAAAGUAGCUAACAAAGUUUGACUUAGCAGGAAGAGGAGGGUCCUGACAGAAGGAUCUCCUUGCCAGAGGGUCUCUUGUAUGAUCUAAGGGAAGGAGGUUUAAGAGGGCUAGAGGAAGGAGGAACAGUAAAGGAAAUAGAAUUUAAGUUAUUUUUUUUUUCAGUUUUUAGUUUUGGAAUUUGAACUUGAGAUUUAUUUUGUAUUUGAGUAUUAGUUUUUUAAUGUAUAAAAUAAUUAUUGCAAAAAUUAUGUCACUAAUUAUUGUUUGAUUUAUCUUGUACUAAAAAUUGCAUACUAUAUUUAUAGGUUUGGUAAUAAAAAAGGAUUGAAAAU